UGGGGGAUAUUGCACAAUGGGCGAAAGCCUGAUGCAGCGACGCCGCGUGGGGGAUGAAGGCUUUCGGGUUGUAAACCUCUUUCGCUAUCGAACAAGGCCCGCUUAGGGUGGGUUGAGGGUAGGUGGAGAAGAAGCGCCGGCUAACUACGUGCCAGCAGCCGCGGUAAUACGUAGGGCGCGAGCGUUGUCCGGAAUUAUUGGGCGUAAAGGGCUUGUAGGCGGCUUGUUGCGCCUGCUGUGAAAACGCGGGGCUUAACUUCGCGCGUGCAGUGGGUACGGGCAGGCUUGAGUGUGGUAGGGGUGACUGGAAUUCCAGGUGUAGCGGUGGAAUGCGCAGAUAUCUGGUGGAACACCGAUGGCGAAGGCAGGUCACUGGGCCAUUACUGACGCUGAGGAGCGAAAGCAUGGGUAGCGAACAGGA
rnacentral:rRNA from 1 species